rnacentral:rRNA from 1 species
GUGCCAGCAGCCGCGGUAAUACGAGGGGUGCAAGCGUUAUUCGGAAUGACUGGGCGUAAAGGGUGCGUAGACGGUAUGUUAAGCUUGUUGUUAAAUUCCCUGGCCUAACCAGGGACGUGCGGCGAGAACUGGCGUACUAGAGGGUGAGAGAGAGGAGUGGAAUUUCCGGAGUAGCGGUAAAAUGCGUAGAUCUCGGAAGGAACACCGAUGGCGAAAGCAGCUCCUUGGCUCAUUCCUGACGUUGAGGCACGAAAGCGUGGGGAGCAAACAGGAUUAGAUACCCCCGUAGUCC